CACAAGUAACAAGUCUAGUUUCCCUUCUCCCUGUACAACUAUUGGAAUUCACUCCUGCAGUACCUAUUUCACCUGAGGCUCACUGGUGCCAACAGAUAUGAGGGUCUCUAAGGCACCUUUACUUUGAUUCUCAAUCUCAAGCCUGCAGUGGUAACAUAACUAGACUUCCUUCAUGUUGAAGUGUACACACGUGAGAUUGAUAGACUUUCUAAUUGGCCACCCUCGGAAAAUGUUUCUAGACCUCAUGAUCAAGAACUUUCAGACAAUACCAAUGAGGCCCCCUCAGGAACAUUAACUCAGAUAAAAGCCUUAGCCUAAGACACACUAAGGGCUCACAACAGAACCCUUUGCUUAGGUGUUUACAGGUAUACAACCAAGGUCUUUCACCUUGUAAGUGAAAGCUAACAGCUCCACUAUCACCCAGCACAACUGGCAAAAAAAGGUAGAACCAUCCAGUAGUGAGGCACAAGCUGUGUUAGGACAAGCUAUGGCCUGUUGCAGAAUCAUCUUGAGCCAUUCCCAUCAACAGCUGCUCUCCAGGGCUCAAAGGACACUGUCUUAUCUCUUCCUUGUUUCCCCAUCCCCAGCUCUCCAAACCAAGAUCCAAUUUUCCAGGACAAGGAGAUUUAUCCCAAUUCAUAGCUGGCUGUUAUUUAAAAACCAAUCAUUGCGAAGCCAGGUGCAGUGGUGCACACCUGCAAUCUCAGUAGCUUGGGAGGCUGAGGCAGGAGGAUCGCCUCAACAAAGCCAGCCUCAACAAAGGUGAGGUGCUUAGCAGUUCAGUGACACCCUGUCUCUAAAUAAAAUACAAAAUAGGGUUGGAGAUGUGGCUCAGUGGACUGAGGGCCCCUGAAUUCAAUAUCUAGUACCAUCCUGCCCCCAAAUCAUUGCCAGGUGCAGUGGCACAUGGGUGUAUUCCCAGCAACUUAGGAGGCUAAGGCAGGAGGGCUGUGAGUUCAAGGACAGCCUAGGCAACUUAUGGAGACCCUAUCUCAAAAAAAUAUAUAUAUAUUACUGGGGAUGUAGCUCAUUAUGAC
rnacentral:lncRNA from 1 species